AGUAGUCGCGAGUCACUGGUGUGGUGUCUAGUGAGCGAGAGGGUGUCUGCACGUUCUGUGAGCACUGUGGAUGAGACCUAGGCACAGCACAUAGUGAAGCCAGUUUUGGGUUGGUGACAGCCGAAGUUUUUGGACGCUUGACCCGAAGGGACGUUGCAGUGAUUGAACCUUUGCAAAGCAGUGACAAUGCCUGUUCAUUCAUCGCAGGGGUGCGGCUUGUAGUCGCCCUCUGCCAAGUUAAGUGCUAUUGACUUUGUCAUAAUUGUUAUUGGACUGCAGCUUGCCAUUGCGAGGAUGUUGCCUGCUGAUCGUGCUUCUGCUAUACUCUAGUAAAGGAGUGUCGUCCUGGUAUCCUGACCUGUCCAACGUGAGCCCGGCCGCCGCUACGAACCAGCCGCUGUGGGAAUACUAACACGCCUGACUAUUUAUCUCAGGGGUGCGGUUUACAUAAGCUGCCCUCUGCCAAGUUAAGUGCUGUUCUCCUCUUUCUUACUGAAUCGGGCGAGCCAGCGUCUGUUGGCUUCAUGGUUUUAAUACUGUAUUGCAGCUACGAUCGCCAAGUUAAAGUGCUGAGUCUGGACACUUACAAAGCCCUGUGUAUUUUCAAUGAACUCUCCGGCAUCGUAUUUCACAUCUGUGCUGUGAUGGAUUACCCCUGUGUGAUACUUUGAUGGACUUUGAUUGUUCUCGUGUGAUACUUGGAUGUAUUCUUCAUAGACUCUUGACGGACUUUGAUAGACUUUGAUAUUAUUUGGGCUGUAUUGUUGGUGUGGCCUCCUCUCACCUCGGAUCUCUGCUAUUGGCCCGUCUGGUGUCUGCGGCUCACCCGCUCAUAGCUGUCAGUCAUGAACCAGGACCCGCCCCUGCCCUCCUGCAAGCCAGCGUGUGUGUGUGUGUGCGCAGCCGGCUCUGAUUGCCUCUCCCGCUCCAUCCACUUGAACUGUGCAGUGCCGCAGACAGUUGCCGCUCAUCCAGUCAUUGCCAUACCCUGGAUUGUGGAUCUUAUCACAGACUGAGUAUUUUUAAACAAAAGAGUUGACUGCUGUCUCAAUACAAAAAUAAAUAUUUAUCUUUUCUAAAGCCUA